CAGGCCUAACACAUGCAAGUCGKUCGGYGYYKYYYUCUCUAGUGGCGCACGGGUGCUAACACGUAUGCAACCUACCUUAUACUGGGGGAUAGCCUUUGGAAACGGAGAUUAAUACCCCAUAGUACAUUUGAUUGGCAUCAAUUAAAUGUUAAAGAUUUAUCGGUAUAAGCUGGGCAUGCGUCCAAUUAGUUAGUUGGUGAGGUAAUGGCUCACCAAGACUUUGAUUGGUAGGGGAACUGAGAGGUUAAUCCCCCACACUGGCACUGAGAUACGGGCCAGACUCCUACGGGAGGCAGCAGUAGGGAAUAUUGGGCAAUGGAGGCAACUCUGACCCAGCCAUGCCGCGUGCAGGAAGAAGGCGUUAUGCGUUGUAAACUGCUUUUAUAUAGGAAGAAAUAGUCCUUGCGAGGAAAGUUGACGGUACUAUAUGAAUAAGCACCGGCUAACUCCGUGCCAGCAGCCGCGGUAAUACGGAGGGUGCAAGCGUUGUCCGGAUUUAUUGGGUUUAAAGGGUGCGUAGGCGGUUUAUUAAGUCAGUGGUGAAAGACGGUCGCUCAACGAUUGCAGUGCCAUUGAUACUGGUAGACUUGAGUGGGAUUGAGGUAGCUGGAAUGGAUAGUGUAGCGGUGAAAUGCAUAGAUAUUAUCCAGAACACCAAUUGCGUAGGCAAGUUACUAAGUCUCAACUGACGCUGAGGCACGAAAGUGUGGGGUAUCAAACAGGAUUAGAUACCCUGGUAGUCCACACUGUAAACGAUGAUAACUAACUGUUGGCUUUCGGGUCAGUGGUACAGAGAAAUCGUUAAGUUAUCCACCUGGGGAGUACGCCGGCAACGUGGAAACUCAAAAGGAAUUGACGGGGGUCCGCACAAGGCUGGAGCAUGUGGUUUAAUUCGAUGAUACGCGAGGAACCUUACCUAGGCUAGAAUGUGAGGAAUGUAUCAGAAAUGGUGCAGUCAGCAAUGACCUGAAACAGGUGCUGCAUGCUGUCGUCACUCGUGCCGUGAGUGUUUGGGUAAGUCCCGCACGA
rnacentral:rRNA from 1 species